rnacentral:rRNA from 1 species
GUUUAAUUCGAUGCAACGCGAAGAACCUUACCUACUCUUGACAUCCAGAGAAGCCAGCGGAGACGCAGGUGUGCCUUCGGGAACUCUGAGACAGGUGCUGCAUGGCUGUCGUCAGCUCGUGUUGUGAAAUGUUGGGUUAAGUCCCGCAACGAGCGCAACCCUUAUCCUUGUUUGCCAGCGAGUAAUGUCGGGAACUCCAGGGAGACUGCCGGUGAUAAACCGGAGGAAGGUGGGGACGACGUCAAGUCAUCAUGGCCCUUACGAGUAGGGCUACACACGUGCUACAAUGGCGCAUACAGAGGGCAGCAAGCUAGCGAUAGUGAGCGAAUCCCAAAAAGUGCGUCGUAGUCCGGAUUGGAGUCUGCAACUCGACUCCAUGAAGUCGGAAUCGCUAGUAAUCGUGAAUCAGAAUGUCACGGUGAAUACGUUCCCGGGCCUUGUACACACCGCCCGUCACACCAUGGGAGUGGGCUGCAAAAGAAGUGGGUAGUUUAACCUUUCGGGGAGGA